CGGCUCCGUUGGGGUCCACGCGUGUUUCUUCUGAACAAGAGUUCUUCACCGCUUCUCUUCUAAAGCCCUAGCAGGAUAGGUCGUCCUCGAUUUACAACAGUUCGUUUAGUGACCGUUCAAAGUUACAGUGGCACUGAAAAAAAUGUGAUUUAUGCCCGGUUUUCACCCUUAGGACCUUUGCAGCAUUCCCCGUGAUCAAAAUCCAGCCGCUUGGCAACCUUGCUGUGUCCCAAGGUCAUAUGAUCACUAUUUGGCGACGAGCGAAGUCAAUGGGGAAGCUAGAUUCGCUUAACAACCAGGUUACUAACUUAUCAAUGCAGUGAUUCACUUAACAAUUGUGGCAAGAAAAGUUGUAAAAUGGGGCAAAACUCACUUAACAAAUUUCUCAGCAACAUAAAUUCUGGGCGCAGUUGUGAUUGUAAACUGUAGUACCACUUAACCAAUAAAGCACUGUGGUGCUUGUGUUGAUCCCUUGGGGAGGAAACCCCCUCUAAAUUCAUAAUCUAAUUUCUUUAUUGACAUGAAAGUAUUUUUCUUUUUAAUGUUCAGAACUUAGGCACGAUAUUAUAAAAAACGGGAUUUGGAGGUGGGGGGGGAAAGGGGAUUAAAUAACACCCCUGGCAAGAUAUUUGCAACCUGUGUGAUUUGCAGACCAGUUUUCUUUGUUAGGUGGAGUUGAAACUCCUUGUGUCAGGAGGUGUCUGUCACUGGUGCCCAUUUGCGUUUCAGAUUAGAGGGAACAAUCAUUUGUUGCUCUUUGAAGGCAAGAGUAAACUGAGCUCAGAGACUUCACGUUUCUCACUCACAGGAACUCAGUAAAUUGACCAUGGAACAGAAGAUAGAAAACAGUGGUAGUAUAAAAUAAAAGUUUGAAAAAUUGCAGCCAUGAUUUUUAAUUCAUGCAUAUGUCAAAGUGGGUGAAUAUAAGAUGUUUGCCUUAUUUAUUUAUUAAAUUUGCGGCUGCCCAUCUCACCACAAGGUCACUUUUACAGUAAUGCAGGAAUAUGAAACUUGCGGCCCGCAGGCCGGCUAUGUUACACCACACCAACACCCAGUUCAACGAAGGGGGAAAAAGUCACGAUAGGUCAUGUGAUGACACCGUGAUGACACAGGUUUGACACCCCUGCAGUAAUGCAUUGAAUUGGAUUAAGUUUUCUUGGUAUUAAGAGUGUCUUGUUAUUCUCUGGUGGCAAAAAAAAAUCAGGUCUGGUAGCACUUUUUUCCAUUAACAUUUUAUUAAAAGGCAUCUGUGCAUCUGAUGAAGUAAGCUAUAACUGGUGAAAACUUGCACCUUUUCAUAAAAUAUACAAGUAAGAAACUGUGAUACCAGACUUGGAUGUUUUGGUAUAAAGACGUGAGCUCUUGAAUCAAAUUUACAGUUACACCACCCAGACACUAGAUGUCGACUGAUAACCUGAUACCAUCUGAAGGAAGUAUAUUACUUCUGGUUGAUAGAUCUGUCACCAAAUUAGAAUAUUUACUCUAAGAGCUUUUGUCAACCAUAAGGUAAAAGGGAAAAAAAAACCAGGUGGAGAGCAAAAAUGCAGCAGGGUAUGCUGUUACAUGUUUCAAAUGUGUGGCUGCUACGGUAGUUUAAUAUGCUUCAUUGUGUUAUAAAAUGAAAGACUGAAAAACAUUCCUGGGUCAGCCAGAUGCAGAUUUAUUGCGCAAGGUUCAGAGGCAGUUUGGUUCUUGCAAGUCUGAACAAAAAAAGAGCUCUGAUCUAACUGUUUUUAUACAUAUCCAAGACAAAGGAUUCGGUGAGCUCAUGCAUUGGUGAGCUCAUGCAUUUUCCAUAUAUGGUUAACAUACAUUUGAUAAUUUGUACUUCCUAAUUACUAAACCAUUACUUUCUAGUUUAUAAGAUUAUUUUAGCUACACAACUUUUCCUUAAGUGCUAUAGUUGCUAAUGAGAGAUUUAUUGCUGUCCUUGGGUAAUAAGAGGUAGAGUAACUCUUUGUUUCCUAUGCAUGUCUUUGUGUCUUGGACAGUGAGGCCCCUCAGAGGUUUUCCAUAUGGCUGUCCUUCUGCGACAGCUAGGCCUCAUCAGAAGAUAUAUUACCAAUAAUGGGACUUAGCUGAUUUUUUAAUAUAAUCUCCAAGCACUUUUCUCCCUUAUAAUAAUGUGAAUAGAGAGUGUCUUUUAACUGACCCUUUCUCCCUUAUAAUAAAGUGAAUAAAGAGUGUCCUUUAGGGUUCAUGUAACUGACUCUGUAUGAUUCCUACUUUAUUCACUUUAUUCCCAUUCACUUUAUUCACCUUAUUAUUUUAUUCACUUUAAUUGUAAACCAGACACAGAAUUGCAAUUUACUUUCCACAUUAUGAUCUCCAACUUAAUGUAUAUUGCUCAUUUUUCCAAGCACAUUAUAACUUUCUUAGCUGCUAUGGGUGUCCCUUUCACAUUCAUUACACAUAAUUUUAGGAUCCCUGUCCUGGCUUAAAUAUGUUCUAUUUUUACUUAUUGCAGGCUAAAUUAAGGUAAGGAGGAUUAUCUUGGUUUCACCUCUGGCAGGAAAGCAAUCAACAAUCACUCUUCUUAAAAUAAGCUAGGACAAGUUUAAAUGAUGCUUAGAGAUGUCUGUCUCACCAUCACUGAAGUUGGUGGAUUAAGAACAGGAGUUGAGGGAAUUUAGUGAAGUCUCUGAGAUGCCUCUGCUUGCAACAACCUUUCUGUCUCUUACCUGCUGGGCUAUUUCUGAACCAGGGAUGUAGCGUUCUUUAGAAAGUGUGCUAAAGAUAAGAGGCUUAUUUCUAGUUGUUCAUAAAUUAUUUAAUAGUUUAACAGACUGAAGCUUCAAAGGAAACUAAUAUGUUGAUUUUAAAGUUUGGUCCCUGAACUUAAAAGGGCAAGUAUGAAUAUAUAAACAAAUCUACUCCUUCAUUGGGUCCAAGGUUUGCCUACAGAUGCUUGAAACUGCUUGUCUGAUUUCCCCAUCUCUACAUAAAGGGGCCAUUGCUACUGGGAUAAGAGGAAACACUAUUUCAGAAGUGAAACAGCUAAGCACAAUUUUAAGCAGCCUCAGAAACUGGCUGGGAAUGGCCCAAAGGGAAUGUAAACCUGGUAGAAAAGAGAGAUAUAUCUGACAUGUUUAUGUCACAGGUACAGGAAGUACUGUAAGGAAGAACCACAUAUCCAUGUAAUGUUCUAAUUGCUGUCUUGAUAUAAACAUAAAAAUGUUUAGGUAAGUCUGCAGAAGAGGUUAGCAAACGUCAAGAUGACGAUUGCUGCCAGGAAAUGGAAACCUCAUCUGUUCUUUUAGAUACAGGCUUUGAUUGCAAGGUCAUGACCAUCUUGAUAUUUUUCACACCCUCGUUCCCAGGCCCCUGCAAAGGGCCCUAGCUCUAAUGUUCUCUGUAAUAGAGCUGUGCAGAGCUUUGAAUUCUAUUCCAAUUCUGCAGCUUUUUAAAGCAGCUCUGUCUCUUCCUAGGAUUCCAUAGCUGUUCCCAAGAAAGGAUGAGGCUGCUUUAAAGCAAGGCAGAUAAGUCUUACGUUAAUGUUCCAGAGCACCUUUUAUGAAGUACAUCUGAAGCACCGCCAUAAGUGCUGAGAUGCCAAUAACCUUUUACAGUAUUGUAGAACUGAAUCUACAGCUCAAAGCUAGAGGGAACUUUUGAUGAAUUAGCAUUCCAUUGUUCUCAGUACUCAUGAAAGGCCCACAAUAUUCUCAUUCUCAAGGGUGCCUUCUGCAUAAAACUAAAAUGAGGAAAAAAUAUGGCUUGCAUGUAAAUCACAUCCUGCCCAAUGGCUUCCAUAACCACAUUGAGAGCAGAUGUCAUUCCGUUAGAGAGAAUAGGAAGUGUAUAUGACCUUUGAGAAAAAUCUUGGGGUUUUUUUAGGAUGUAAACUUGUCAUAUAUUUGAAAAUAAGGGAGUUUCUGUAAGAUGACAUCUGAUUUGACACAUAGGAGUGAUUAAUUGCUGACACAUUGAAAUCAUGCAAAUGUAGGGAUGCCUGGAGAUUACUUCUCUUUUUUCUGGACCAGGGUUAUAAAAGAGGAUGCUGCACCCACAGGAGCAGCGAGUCAGACUAUUCUUACACAGUACGUAGCGCAUACAGAGGAUUUCUAUCCUGUUUCUUCGGGUAAGUUUCAAAAUCAAUAUCAAUUUGUAAGAGAAGGUAACUGGUGAAGGCUACAGUGAUGUACAAGUGGACCUGUGUGAUGAAUGGGAGCAGCACCAGAUGUUUUUCUUGGAUUGGAGGAGGGAGUCUAAUUUUAGGGGAGGGUUGGAUUUAAUUUAAUAUUAAGCCUGCUGUAGUGUAGUGUGACCUAGGUAAUUUUAGUUCAGCCAUGUCUCAUCCCAACCUACCUUAUAAAAUUGUAGAAAUCCAAAGAGAGGCAUGCUACUUGACUUCCCAUAUGAAAGGUGGCAUACUCUGUAAAAUCGUCAGUAUCCUAUUUUUUGUUUGCCUACCUUAGACUGCAGCUUGUGAUCUGUGUUGAACCGCCAGCUACUUAAGAGAAUAGGAUCACAAAUUAUAAAAAUCAGAUCAGGCCUGCACAGGAAAUGUGAACACCAUUUAUACUCACUUCGGGCUUAGCUCCUCACGUUGCUGUGCAAAUCCAUGCUAACUACUGCAGUUUGAGAAACUCUGGCCUAAACACAUUUAAAGUGUAGUGAUUAAAAAUAAGUGAUAUUGUAGAUUUAUUUCCCACCAGGCUGCAACCCUUAUAAAAACAGUUUUAUUCGUGGGAGAAUUUAUUUUAUAAUGUUAGGUGGUCACAAUCCUGCAAUGUUUGAGAAACCUUCACUUAUGUAUGUAUCCAUAUGGUGGGAAACUGACACAAUUGCUAACAUUGGAAAUUAUUAAAACGUUAUUGUGGCCUAGUGUAUUGUAAGAGCCAACUUCUUUUGAUUAAGUUAUGGAGAAACGGGCAACGGAGCAUCCGGCGCAAGGGAAAGAGGGGGCCGCUUUCCGUCUCUUCUCCCUGCUCCUCCUCCUCCCCUCGUGCCGGCCACUCCGUUUCUCCAUUGCAGUGCAGCGCCCAGGAUCUACUUUUGACAGCGGGAUGAGGUGGGGUGAUAAUUUGCCUGGCUAAACUCACUCCACAGUCGCCCCUACAUUGGGCUCAGCUUCGAUUGUGCUGCCAACUUAAUUUUUUGCCCCUCUCACUUUUGCCCGCAGACUGAACGCCCCAGUCUUGGGGGUUCCAGCACAAGCUUCCAAGAGCAUCAACUCCUUGUCUCUAUGGUAACCCCCCCUCCUCGUUCCUUGAAAACCUCAUCUCUUAAAGAAGUCAGGUCCAGAAGGCUGAAACAGCUGCGAGACCAACGUGCAGACAAGCACCUUCCGAAACACCCUUUUGGUAAAGAGUGGAAAUUUAACAACCUGUCCGCCCAGGGUCAGUUCCAUGUCAAGGAAUUUUUUAUUACUGCAGAAUGUAGUAGAAAAGCAUCCUCUCUGAUGCAAAGCAUUUUUUCUGGAUCUCGCUAGUAAACAUUCUGCUCCCAUGGGUAGAGGCCACGCCCAGCUGAAGAACCAAAGUGUAGAUAUUAUAAUAUCACAGGCAUACAUGCUCUGGUUCCCUUCAUUUUGCUGGUCUUCUCCAAUUGUUCAUUGUACAAUUGAAUACCUUCUGCCUGAUGGUUCUCCCAAGAACAAUUCAGCAAAAAGGAAUGCAAAGCCACCUUAAUUUUGAAAUCAACAUCAUACAUCAUACAACCAUCAUACAUUUCUUCUCUGAAGACUUAAGAAUGGAAUCAGGUCUGUCCAAGAAAUUUCAUUCUAUUAAACAGAGCAACAUUUGUGCAAGGAAAAGAAAGCCCAAUACAUAAAUAUUGGACCUUAGUUCCGUUAAGAACUUUCACAUGUCUGGAAUCCAAUUCUAUUUCAACAUCAUAAAGCAGAUACAUACGUACAUGCAUACAUACAUACAUACAUACAUACAUACAUACAUACAUACAUGGAAUACAUUUAUAUAUACAUAUCUAUAUCUUAUAAAUAUGUAGAUAUAAGCAGAUUUUUUAAUAUAAAAGAUGUUUAUAUUAAAGAUUAAAGAUUUUUAAUACAAAGCAUAUGUAUAGUAUGCUGUGGUAUAAAGGUAAUCUACAAGUAUACGAGGUAGCUUGGAAAUUCAAAUUAAAGAUUUAUUUCAUUUUUGGAGUAUUCUGCUGAGUAAUAGAAGAAAAAAGUUCAUUUGGAGUAAGACAAAGAAGGAAGUCCAUAGCAAUGUUAUAAACAAAGAUACUAAUAAUUCAGCUGAUGUGGAGCACUGUAGCUGAAGAAAAUGAAAAUGUUCUUCUCAAUCUGCAGUUCAGUGUGUCAUGGUUGAGAGAUGCUCAAUCCUCUCGUAAAAAAAAAGAACCCUUACCAAUUCAGGUGCACUUUUAUUUCUGAUAUGAUUGAAAAGUUUGAUAUUUCUGUAAUAUCUGUUUUUAGUUGAGAAAUAAACAAUUGAGAAAUCUA